UCACUUUUUUUUCUUUUCUUUUAGCAUCAAUUCAAUAAUAACUUUAAAAAAUAUUUAGAUCAUAUUGAUUUAACUACUCAAUCUUAUUUCCCUUAACUACUUUGAACAUCUCUUUUUUCUUUCUAUAUUCAUCUUUUUUUUUUCACAUUUUCUCUUCCUCUUUGUUUCGUUCUUAGUUAUUUUCUUUCAUUUUAUAACUCAAUCUUUCUAUCACAUCUUCCUCCAUUUUUUUAAAUUUCUAAUUAUAUCCUUUUCU
rnacentral:lncRNA from 1 species